UACGUAGGGUGCAAGCGUUGUCCGGAAUUAUUGGGCGUAAAGAGCUCGUAGGCGGUUUGUUGCGUCGGCUGUGAAAUCCCGAGGCUCAACCUCGGGUCUGCAGUCGAUACGAGCAAACUAGAGUGUUGCAGGGGAGACUGGAAUUCCUGGUGUAGCGGUGAAAUGCGCAGAUAUCAUGAGGAAGACCAGUGGCGAAGGCGGGUCUCUGGACAGUUCCUGACACUGAGGCACGAAGGCCAGGGGAGCAAACGGG
rnacentral:rRNA from 1 species